rnacentral:rRNA from 1 species
UAAACUAGGAUUAGAUACCCUAUUAUUUUAAAUGUAAAAAUUAUAAAUACUGAAUUAGUAUUAGCUAUGUUCUUGAAAAUUAAAAAAUUUGGCGGUAUUUUAGUCUUUUCAGAGGAAUCUGUCCUGUAAUUGAUAGUUCACGAUUAAAUUUACUUUAUUUAUUAGUUUACAUAUCGUCGUAGUAUGAAUAUUUUAAAAGAAAAUUAAUAUUCAAAAAUUUAAAUUAAAAAGUAAAUCAGAUCAAGGUGUAGUUUAUAAUAAAGAAGAGAUGGGUUACAAUAAAUUUAUUUUAGGAAAAUUUAUUAAAAAUAAGUUUGAAUUUGGAUUUGAAAGUAAUUUUAAAUAUUUUUUUUAUAUGAUUAUAGCUCUAAAAUAUGUACACAUCGCCCGUCGCUCUUAA